rnacentral:rRNA from 1 species
GACGAACGCUGGCGGCGCGCUUAACACAUGCAAGUCGAACGGAAAGGCCUGCUUUCCCUUGUGGAUUGCGGGUACUCGAGUGGCGAACGGGUGAGUAACACGUGAGUGAUCUGCCCCCAACUUGGGUAUAAGCCUGGGAAACUGGGUCUAAUUCCCGAUAGGACUGCAGGGUGGUGCCUGUGGUGGAGAACGAUUUUCUAGUGGUUGGGGAUGAGCUCGCGGCCUAUCAGCUUGUUGGUGGGGUAAUGGCCUACCAAGGCGGCGACGGGUAGCCGGCCUGAGAGGGUGGACGGCCACAUUGGGACUGAGAUACGGCCCAGACUCCUACGGGAGGCAGCAGUGGGGAAUAUUGCACAAUGGGCGGAAGCCUGAUGCAGCGACGCCGCGUGGGGGAUGACGGCCUUCGGGUUGUAAACUCCUUUCGACCGCGAGGAAGCCACCUGGUUGGAAGGGUGGUGACGGUAGUGGUAGAAGAAGCACCGGCUAACUACGUG